AUUGAACGCUGGCGGCAUGCUUUACACAUGCAAGUCGAACGGUAACAGGUUAAGCUGACGAGUGGCGAACGGGUGAGUAAUGCAUCGGAACGUGCCCGAUCGUGGGGGAUAACACUUCGAAAGAAGUGCUAAUACCGCAUACGAUCUGAGGAUGAAAGCGGGGGACCGUAAGGCCUCGCCCGAUCGGAGCGGCCGAUGUCAGAUUAGGUAGUUGGUGGGGUAAAGGCUCACCAAGCCGACGAUCUGGAGCUGGUCUGAGAGGACGACCAGCCACACUGGGACUGAGACACGGCCCAGACUCCUACGGGAGGCAGCAGUGGGGAAUUUUGGACAAUGGGCGCAAGCCUGAUCCAGCAAUGCCGCGUGCAGGAAGAAGGCCUUCGGGUUGUAAACUGCUUUUGUACGGAGCGAAAAGGCUCCCUCUAAUACAGGGGGCUCAUGACGGUACCGUAAGAAUAAGCACCGGCUAACUACGUGCCAGCCGCCGCUGUAA
rnacentral:rRNA from 1 species